rnacentral:rRNA from 1 species
AACGAACGCUGGCGGCAUGCCUAACACAUGCAAGUCGAACGAACUCUUCGGAGUUAGUGGCGCACGGGUGCGUAACGCGUGGGAAUCUGCCCUUGGGUACGGAAUAACUCAGAGAAAUUUGUGCUAAUACCGUAUAAUGACUUCGGUCCAAAGAUUUAUCGCCCAAGGAUGAGCCCGCGUAAGAUUAGCUAGUUGGUGGGGUAAAGGCCUACC